UUGUCCGGAUUUACUGGGUGUAAAGGGUGCGUAGGCGGCAAGGCAAGUCAGGCGUGAAAUCUGUGGGCUUAACCCACAAACUGCGCUUGAAACUGUCUUGCUUGAGUGAAGUAGAGGUAGGCGGAAUUCCCGGUGUAGCGGUGAAAUGCGUAGAGAUCGGGAGGAACACCAGUGGCGAAGGCGGCCUACUGGGCUUUAACUGACGCUGAAGCACGAAAGCAUGGGUAGCAAACAGGAUUAGAUACCCUGGUAGUCCAUGCCGUAAACGAUGAUUACUAGGUGUGGGGGGUCUGACCCCCUCCGUGCCGCAGUUAACACAAUAAGUAAUCCACCUGGGGAGUACGGCCGCAAGGUUGAAACUCAAAGGAAUUGACGGGGGCCCGCACAAGCAGUGGAGUAUGUGGUUUAAUUC
rnacentral:rRNA from 1 species